UUCCAGUUCCAGUUUUAUAGACUGUGUCUGCGUUUGAUCUAACACUCUUAAUUUCAUCCUUAUAUCGAUCACUAAAUAUAUCCACAAAAAUCGACAUGCUGUGCAUUUGAGCAUGGAUAAACCCUAAUCUGAAAAUGAGUGGAAAUGGCCGAAGAACUACUCGGAGCAGAACCAAAUCCGCCGCCGAUGCCGACGGCGACGAACCUCUCCGUAACACAAACCUAACCCGAAACUACGUAAAGAUAGAAAUAGAGCUCACAACUCCAUUCGGAUCUUCGACGUCAAUCUCAAAGUCAUGCUAGGAGUCAGCGUUUUUGCGUUCUUUGUGAUCUUCUUCUUAAUUCGCCGCCUUGUAAAUCCGGCUGAAGAAGCACGGAGACCGUUUUGGUGGCUUCUUAGUCCUUAAUCGUAGUGGUUUUGUGCACUUAUCCUUUGGAAUUCUUCUUGGAUUUCUCUCUUUUUUGUUUUUCCUUUUCUAGUAGGGGUCUAGUAUUAUUCUACACAUUCUUUAGAUCUCUUGGCACUUGCAGGGUACAUAAUAAUCAGUUUGAUGUUUUGUCAAAUUAACUGUUAAAUUAGUAAUUACCUUCUUCAAAUGAAGGCAAAUCACCUUUUGACUUUGAAGAUAAAAUUGCAGUGCAGGAGGGGGAAGGAAGCUGUAUUAUUGUAAUGUCUUACAGCAUAAAUUCUAUUGUAAUUCUUUUGGGCUGCGAAAUUUUGGAAUUUUCAGUAGUGUGGUAGCAGCCAAAGGAGAUGAUUAUAAACAGCUAUUCCUAUGGCCUCCAUCAUACACCAAGACUGUUGGGUUGGGACUGUUGGGUGUCUUUUAAACAUUCAAAAGUGCAUUUGGUUGGGUGGAAAAGUAAGAGUAAAGUAAAUGGUAAAGAGAGAAUCGAAGGUGGAUUGAUUAGAAAAGUGGAAAGAAGUUAAAAAUGAUUGAUUAUUAAUUUUCUAUUCAGCCCACCAUUUUUAAUCUUCCCAAAAUAUGAGAAAAAUAGGGGAGAAAUGUCUAUAUAUUCUUUUUUUCUUUUUUUUUUCUUUUUUUUUUAUUGAUUCUUCUUAUAUUAUCUUUCAUCCCACCUUACUAUCCUCUCAAGGAAUGUAUAAAUCAAUUGUGGGUUGAAAUUGGGAGAUUUUUGACUCUGUAGCUUACACAUUUUAGUAAAUGUUUUACAUAACCAUUACAACCAUUUCCUCUUGACUUGCUCGUGAACUAUAUAGCGUCUUUAACAGAAUGGUGCCUAUUAUGCAGGUUCUAAAGAGGAAGUAUACUUUGAUCUGCAGUCCUGCUUAGAACCUGAUUUUGAAGAUUUCUUCAAUGUCAGUGGUGAUACCACCCCAUCUUGUGAGAACACUCCUAUCCAUCAUUGCGGCUUGAAAGAAACUCCUCACGU